rnacentral:lncRNA from 1 species
AAAAUGCACCUUCUGAUUUAACACACAUGCCGCAUAACCCAAGAGGAUGGCGUGACUGCUGAUGUGCCCUGUGCUGUCACGGCUGCGAGUCCACCUCAGGGCAACCAGGCCUGCUCUUUCUGUAGUGAGCACGCCGCAGCCCCAAUCUCGGGUUCAAUGUGGAGGACGUGGAACAGGGAACAGUGACGGCUCACUAAGCUGCCUGCAGAGUCUGGGAUGUGUGGGCCAAGGAAAGCACCCAGAGCACAGGAGGCUGGCUUCUACCAAGUGGAGGUCUGACUGGGGAAGGGUGGCCUGCUUCUGAGGAUCCAGAGGGCUGACCGAGAAGGCGCGGACGGAAUUCCUGGGCAGAAGGCAACUCGCUACCACGUGAGGAUCACACUUGCGUCUGUGACACACCGAGUGCUGAGUGCUUUGCUCUCAUUCACCCUCGGAGCAGCCCCACCCUCGUCUCUCCUUUAGAAAUGGAAGCCCAGAGAAGCAGGCGGGUGAACUUGAUGCACCCAGAGUGUCCAAAGGUCAGUCUUGACCAGGUGUGCCAGAAUUCUGAGACGGCUCGAGCUUCUAGUCCCCAGUGCACACGCCCUGUGUAAGCUGCUUUCCUCCGGCGUGGGGGGCCUGCGAAUAUGAUGGGCGUCCCUCCUGAGAGUAGCUUAUGUUCUAUGGCAAAGGCAGUGGGAUGUGGCCGAUGUAAUUAAGGUUUCUAUCCAGUUGGCUUUCAACCCAUCUAAAGGCAGAUUGUCCCAGGUGGGCCUGACCUAACCAGGUGAGCCCAGGCCUUCCCGGAAAAAUGAGACUUGAAGAGGUCAAGGAUUCUCCUGCUGGCCUUAAAGAAGUGAACCACCAUGAGCUCCACAGCCGUGAGGAAGUGAACUCUGACAACAACCACAUGAGCCUGGAUGAGAACUUCACACCUCAGGGGAGACCCCAGCCCUGGCCCAAACCCUUGGGCACGGUCGCAUGAGCUGCAGAGCGGAGCAGCCAGUUCAGCGGAGCCUGGACUCCAGCCCCACGGAAACGGUGAGGUAACAAGUGUGUGCUGCUGUCGGCUGUGAGGCUGGUGGUGACUUGUUACAAUGCAAUAGAAAAAGAAGCCACUGGGCCUGUCUGACGCCCAGUCCAUGCUCUCAGGACUGAGAAGAAACUUCCCUUGAGUGGAACUUCCUGCAGGUCGGGCUGUCCCGCGGCGAAGCUGUCUGCAUUGUCCUGUGAUGCACCCUCUGUCGUUGGAGACGGAGCUCAAACAUCGUCCCGCAGCAGCUCAUAGGAGAGGAGUGAAAUGACGUGGCUUUGGCUGCAGAAGGCCCAGUGUACUUCCAGCCCCAUGGGCAAGUCUAAGAGCUGAAAGUGCCGGCGACAGAGAUGCAGGUUUCUCUGCACCUGUAGUCACCCCCAGUGAAGUCGCGGAGGCGAGGGCUCCAGGAUCAUAGUCUCUGCAUGAGCGACAGCACCUCGCUUAGGAGCCUCGUAAAGCAGGUUUCACCAACACUUGCUGACGAAUGAAGAAGAGGGGGCUGCAGAUGUGACUAGACCCCCUUGCAUGAGACCUCUGAGGGUCCCUGAGGCCAGGAAUCAUUUAUUCCUUUUCCUCCUUCUUUUACCCUAAGUUUAUGGAUUCCAC